UACUCGAGUGGCGAACGGGUGAGUAACACGUGGGUGAUCUGCCCUGCACUUCGGGAUAAGCCUGGGAAACUGGGUCUAAUACGGAUAGGAGCCAUUUUUAGUGUGAUGGUUGGAAAGUUUUUUCGGUGUAGGAUGAGCUCGCGGCCUAUCAGCUUGUUGGUGGGGUAAUGGCCUACCAAGGCGGCGACGGGUAGCCGGCCUGAGAGGGUGGACGGCCACAUUGGGACUGAGAUACGGCCCAGACUCCUACGGGAGGCAGCAGUGGGGAAUAUUGCACAAUGGGCGCAAGCCUGAUGCAGCGACGCCGCGUGGGGGAUGACGGCCUUCGGGUUGUAAACUCCUUUCGCUAGGGACGAAGCUUUUGUGACGGUACCUAGAUAAGAAGCACCGGCUAACUACGUGCCAGCAGCCGCGGUAAUACGUAGGUGGCAAGCGUUAUCCGGAAUUAUUGGGCGUAAAGCGCGCGUAGGCGGUUUUUAAGUCUGAUGUGAAAGCCCACGGCUCAACCGUGGAGGGUCAUUGGAAACUGGAAAACUUGAGUGCAGAAGAGGAAAGUGGAAUUCCAUGUGUAGCGGUGAAAUGCGCAGAGAUAUGGAGGAACACCAGUGGCGAAGGCGACUUUCUGGUCUGUAACUGACGCUGAUGUGCGAAAGCGUGGGGAUCAAACAGGAUUAGAUACCCUGGUAGUCCACGCCGUAAACGAUGAGUGCUAAGUGUUAGGGGGUUUCCGCCCCUUAGUGCUGCAGCUAACGCAUUAAGCACUCCGCCUGGGGAGUACGACCGCAAGGUUG
rnacentral:rRNA from 1 species